rnacentral:rRNA from 1 species
CUACGGGUGGCUGCAGUGGGGAAUAUUGGACAAUGGGCGAAAGCCUGAUCCAGCCAUGCCGCGUGUGUGAAGAAGGCCUUCGGGUUGUAAAGCACUUUCAGUGGGGAAGAAAGCCUUGGGGCUAAUACCCUCGAGGAAGGACAUCACCCACAGAAGAAGCACCGGCUAACUCCGUGCCAGCAGCCGCGGUAAUACGGAGGGUGCGAGCGUUAAUCGGAAUUACUGGGCGUAAAGCGCGCGUAGGCGGUCUGAUAAGCCGGUUGUGAAAGCCCCGGGCUCAACCUGGGAACGGCAUCCGGAACUGUCAGGCUAGAGUGCAGGAGAGGAAGGUAGAAUUCCCGGUGUAGCGGUGAAAUGCGUAGAGAUCGGGAGGAAUACCAGUGGCGAAGGCGGCCUUCUGGACUGACACUGACGCUGAGGUGCGAAAGCGUGGGUAGCAAACAGGAUUAGAUACCCGAGUAGU